CAAUCGCUGAAACCAUUAUAAUGCAUCCUAACUGUACGAGCCUUCUUGCAAUUCUUGCCUGCUUCAUCAUGGUAUCGCGCUCCUCUUCUGUCUUCUUCUUGAUCCAAUCUGCUAUCACCAUGCUUACCACCAAGAACAAGAACAGCUUCAGCACCGUUAAACCUCAUUACCACAUGGACAAAGUAUCUUAAGAACGUCUUUGAAGGAACGAAUUACAAGGCAAAAGAUCGGCAGAUCAUGUAGAUACAUGUAACCCAAUAUGCAACAUGGAGUUUUUCUAAAAUAUUCUACCAUAAUCUUUCUCCUUCUUUUUCAUUUUAAAUUACUAGAAUGCUUCCGCUAACAGCAAGCAGCAAGAAAUCGAAUUAACUUGCUUCAAACAGGUCUGACUACUAGUGAAACUUUUUCAAAUAAUAUUCCGAGGAC